rnacentral:lncRNA from 1 species
UUCCGAUACACAUUUCCAAAUCAACUGAGAGAAGUCGCAUCUGUCCUAUCGCAAACACCUACAAUGUCAUGAUCACAUUGAUUUACCUCAGUCGAAGGAGCGGAGCUUACUUUCUAUUCUAUUAGUCAAGCGCACUCACUCUAACGACGUUCCUUUUGCAUAGGUUGCUUGUUAUGGCAUGUUAAACUUUUAAGACCAGCGUCGCAUCAGGCUUGCUUGUCCUUUCAAGCGAAUGCUUUAUUCUUCUGAAGG